GUAGGUGUGGGGUUGUUUUCUUUGGAUGGAUGUGUGGCAUUGCUGUUCCUGCUCACAGGCAAGCAGAUUUGUAACCAAUGUCUCUUCAUACCAAGUGCUCGAGCGAGAACAGAAAAUGCCUCAAGCCUGGCAGUAAAUCCCACAAGCAGAUUCAGAGCGUGCUGACCCAAAGAACAAAUUACUUUAUUUGUGGGGGUUUGGUGUGCCUCUGUCGUUGUAUCCGUGAGCCUUCGCAGAAUGAUGGGAGUGAAAUGAAACAUGAGAGCAGGCAUUUCCAUUGAUGAAUAAGAAAUCUCUGUCCUCUUUCUGGGAACCGUAGACAUCAGCUGGGUUGGACCUGGAGCGAGUAUUGCUGCUGGAGGUCAGGAAGUAAAAAAGUGAAACUCUGUCUUCUCUUAUAAACCUGGAAGUGAAUGCAGAGUACAGCUUAGUAGAAAUUACUGACUUCCCCAGACAACCUGAAUAGAUGAAAUUGAAGUGCAGCACGAUUGAGUUAUGCAUAUAAAGAAGAGUCCACAAACAAGAAAACAUAAGCAAUGUGGGAAGGAACAGAACUGCAAAGAGAACGAGAGGAGCAAAAUUGAACAGGAUGCCAAGCUGCAAAAGACAUUUCAACAGCACCUAAUUAAAACCGUUCACAUUUGCAACAGACAGAAGGUAAAGGCAUUCACUAGGAAACAGAAGAAAGGGGAAAAAAGAGAAAAAAACCCCAACAUAUUAAAAGCAGUUAUUUAGUCAAUCACGGGAGAUUCUGGAAAAAAUGACGACCUUGAAGGAAGGCCGGUUGAGUAACAAGAAAUGCAAGGAGAGUUUGGGGGUUAUUUUCAUUUGUCUCCCAGCGGAACGGAGAGACUUCAGCUGUUAAUACUGAGAAAAAUCCUGUGCAGCAGCCCCUACCCACAGCACUUGGAGCCGAUGGGGAGCAGGCAAUGCCAACGUUGAGCAUUUAUCUCCACGCGCUGAUUUGAAUAAGAUCACAUAGCAACCAACCCAGGACUGGGAAAUCAACCCACUUUUCCCAGGUCCCACUCCAGUGCCUUAAUCAUGAAAUUAUCUGCCAGCUUCUUUUGUUAAUUAAUGAAUCUUCAUCUUUUUGGCUUUAGAAACCAUAGACGCAGCAGCAGUGGCAAGGCUGAAAAUCCAGCACGGUACCUUUGGUGGCAGGAAGAGCUGACAACCGUUUUUCUCAUAACCUGUUAUGUUCACCACUGGUUUGCUUGGUUUCAGCUGUGUAGCAGAGCAGCACAAGCUUAAAAGUGGAAUAAUCAUGACAAAUGAGUCCUCAGCCAUCUUUCAAAGAGAACAAAUGAAAUUUCCACUCGUAUGACAAAAUCACAAGAGAUGAAAAAGCAAGAGGAAGAAGCUACACUGUGCUCUGCUUGUCUCUGUCUAAGCAAAACCACUUCAAUAAUUGGCGAACACAGUAUGAAAAAUAACAAAUAACAUAUGAAAGGGAAGAGAGUAGCAUGGCAUGUCUGAGAAGGAAAAUGGGAAGGGUUUUUUUUUUCUUUCAUGUGGAGGAGCCUUUGCUUUCAGAAAGAGCUAGUGAGGUGAAAAUGGAGCUUUCUUGCUGGAGAGAGGCUGAUUUAUGGGUACACGAGGAAUCUUGCCAUUCAGAGAUAAGGUAGCUAAGUGCUUCGUUAACAAUGACUGAUGAAGAAGCAAUCAGAACUGUAAGAAGGAGCUUUUCGUUAAGUAGAUCAGGAGCUGUCAGAGGCCUUUGGCCACCCACCCUCCUGAGAUUGGGUCAUCCUCUC